AUCAGUCAUUCUGUUUUCGCCUUACAGGAGAAUUAUGCAUUUAAUACAGAAAUUAAAAUGCAGAAGCAUAAAAUGCUAACAAAUAUGGUGGUUUAAUUUUAUUAAAUUGGAGAAAAAAUGCAUGUUUACAAUUUUGUGUACGUUGAUUUUUUUCCCCAAUACUGCUCGAAAUCCUGACUUGAAUUGCUCAGUAGAACUUGAAACCAACUUGUAGGUUUAGAAAUAGAGAAACAGUUGUAUGUAAUACGUUCUCUUUGUAUCUAUAAUGUACAAAUACUUAGUUUUAGAUUCUUGGCAUAAUAUAACUACAUACAAAAAUUUACUAAUAAUUUGAUAGUGCAAUUUUUUCCUUAUAUACUUUGACACAAAUAUUGUUUUUUGUAACUAUAAGGUUGACAGUUUUCACUACAUGGCAUUCUUUGAACACACAGAAAAGGGCUUUCUAAUUUUUGAAGGAAUUAGGGCAUUAGGUAUAACUUUACAACCAGAAAAUGUUUUGAACACUUGCUAAUCCAUUCAUACUUCAUAACUGAAAAUUACAAUCAUGCUGUCUCUGACGAGAAUAUGUCUCUUAUGACAAGUUUUGGAUUGCUUUUGUGAAAUUGAAAAAAUUUGGUCAUAUGAAUUUUUCCAAUGAUUAUUAGUAAAAAAUACCGAAUUUGAUAAAAGAUAAUUUCAUGUCAUCAGCUUUGUUUUAUUCAUACAUUUUUAGUAGUCCCAAGGCAUUUAUAUAUUAAUGCUAUUCAUGUUGCACAUAUAAUGCAAUAUUUACAUCGUUUAAUUCUUGUACAAGGUAUAGAAAUUGAUUUGCGUUCAUUUCAUUCAAUCAGUGCAUUCUUAAAUGCAUAAUUAUUAUUAUAAUUAAUUUAAUGAAUAGAAAUGAAAUAUAGUCAAUAUAAAAGAAUAUAUGUUUCAGUGUUGGACAAAUUGCAAUUAUCUACAAUUGGAAAAUGAUUUCAAAUGUAUUGUUUAGAAUUGAAUUAUAAAGGAAUAAACCAAUCACUUUCCUAAAUUCUAAACAAAAAUUUCAUGGGGACAUUAAUAGUUUUCAUAAACCAAAAUAUGAAUGUUGUGUAGUAAACUAUAUAUAUUGUAAACAUUAUAUGUCCUUUUAUCCACAUCCUGUCUGUAUAAGUUAUAUGUAACAAAUUUUAAUACAGCUAUGCAUUUUUAUUAAAGUUUAUUUUCAUUUUUAUCCAUCUAUAAACUGCCUUUUUUAAAUCGAUUGUGUAUGCACUGUUUAAGGGGAAAGAGACAUCAUUUAAAGAAUCUACAAAUCUUACACUAUAAGAUCUGAAAAUAUGAUAAAGAUGAAAUGGUAAGCAAAUAAAUGUCAUUUUCUAUGUGUAUGUUUGUUGCAAUUGUCUUUAUCAAAGAUAAAAAGUGAAAACCUAGUCAUUACCUGUAAACAAUUGAUUUAAUAUUAUUUUUGCUGAAAUAAAACAAAAAAUUAGCAAGUUUCACAAAAUUUAUAUUGAAUAUUAUGCCAUGUUACUUUUUAGUUGCUAUACUAAGACUAUGCUUAUUUUUCAUGUAUGUCUGAAUGCUUGCAAUAGUCAUCUUCAUGCAGUGUUCAAUAAAGGAAUCCAUACUUCAC
rnacentral:lncRNA from 1 species